GCAUAUCAAUAAGCGGAGGAAAAGAAACCAACAGGGAUUGCCCUAGUAACGGCGAGUGAAGCGGCAACAGCUCAAAUUUGAAAUCUGGCCCUCGGGUCCGAGUUGUAAUUUGUAGAGGAUGUUUUUGGUGAGGUACCUUCCGAGUUCCCUGGAACGGGACGCCAUAGAGGGUGAGAGCCCCGUCUGGUUGGAUACCGAUCCUCUGUAAAACUCCUUCAACGAGUCGAGUAGUUUGGGAAUGCUGCUCUAAAUGGGAGGUAUAUGUCUUCUAAAGCUAAAUAUUGGCCAGAGACCGAUAGCGCACAAGUAGAGUGAUCGAAAGAUGAAAAGCACUUUGAAAAGAGAGUUAAAAAGUACGUGAAAUUGUUGAAAGGGAAGCGCUUAUGACCAGACUUGGACUUGGUUGAUCAUCCUGGGUUCUCCCUGGUGCACUCUUCCAGUUCAGGCCAGCAUCAGUUCGUCGCGGGGGAUAAAGGCUUCGGGAAUGUGGCUCCUCCGGGAGUGUUAUAGCCCGUUGUGUAAUACCCUGCUUUGGACUGAGGUUCGCGCAUCUGCAAGGAUGCUGGCGUAAUGGUCAUCAGCGACCCGUCUUGAAACACGGACCAAGGAGUCGUCUUCGUAUGCGAGUGUUCGGGUGUUAAACCCCUACGCGUAAUGAAAGUGAACGCAGGUGAGAGCUUCGGCGCAUCAUCGACCGAUCCUGAUGUUCUCGGAUGGAUUUGAGUAAGAGCAUACGGGGCCGGACCCGAAAGAAGGUGAACUAUGCCUGUAUAGGGUGAAGCCAGAGGAAACUCUGGUGGAGGCUCGCAGCGGUUCUGACGUGCAAAUCGAUCGUCAAAUAUGAGCAUGGGGGGCGAAAGACUAAUCGAACCCUCCUAGUAGCUGGUUUCCGCCGA
rnacentral:rRNA from 1 species